GACGAACGCUGGCGGCGUGCUUAACACAUGCAAGUCGAACGAAGUGGCGAACGGGUGAGUAACGCGUAAUCAACCUGCCCUUCAGAGGGGGACAACAGUUGGAAACGACUGCUAAUACCGCAUACUGAAGGUGGGGAUUGCGUCUGAUUAGCUAGUUGGAGGGGUAACGGCCAACCAAGGCGAUGAUUAGUAGCCGGUCUGAGGGGAUGAAGCGCCACAUUGGGAAGGGUGCACGGCCCAAACUUCUACCGGAGGCAGUAGUUGGGAAUCUUCCGGAAUGGACGAAAGUCUUACGGAGCAACGCCGCGUGAGGUAUGACGGCCUUCGGGUUGUAAAGCUCUGUUAAUCGGGACGCGGUACCGGAAUAGAAAGCCACGGCUAACUACGUGCCAGCAGCCGCGGUAAUAC
rnacentral:rRNA from 1 species